rnacentral:rRNA from 1 species
CCACCUGACUCCAUCCCGAACUCAGAAGUGAAACGAAACAGCGUCGAUGGUAGUGUGGGGUCUCCCCAUGUGAGAGUAGAACAUCGCCAGGC